rnacentral:snRNA from 1 species
GGAUGUGUGGGGCCAUCUGGCUGCAUCAUCUCUCAUCCCAUAAUCAAAAGGAUUGAUAUGAGCCAUCCGGUUAGACCCUUUCCUCCAUCAUUGCUCCAUGUGCAUCCAUGUGCAGCAGUAGAAGAGGAUGACCAUCCCAGAAAGAAUGUACCAAGGUUUGUCAACAAUAUACAAUAGCUGCGCUCCCGUUAGAACCUCCAAACAAGCUGUCAGAUUCAAUAGUAAUGAUUAUUGGGCAGGUAAAUGAAUGUCUGAAUUAAGUAUGUUGUGUUAAUGCAAUCAGUGGUAUUU